rnacentral:ncRNA from 1 species
UCGACCGUGAGGUCGAAUCUGAAGGAAGUCGGCGGCAAAUCUCCGGUCUGAGGAACACGAAUCUCAUAGAAGGCUAGCGUACGUUGGGUGAGACUGCAAACCAAGUUAAAGCCCAUACUGCCAAAGGCGUACGAAAGUAAAUGAGGCAGAUAGAUGGAGAGGAAGAUAGCGUU